ACUUGCUGUUCCUUCUUCCCCAAGCGCUCCUAAGAGCUCCUCGGUCUUUCCUCUGCGCUCCUCUUUCCUCCGCCGAGACUGAGAUCGACUCCGCGCUGACAUCCGAUUCGGAAAACUGCACCCUCGUGCGGGCGAAGAGCGCUUAGCUCGUCCACCGUGCGCACAUACCAUGGCUCCCCUCGAGGAAGCGAACAACUUCGAAGCAGAUCCAGAUGGGGCGGCUGAAGACGUCGAGCUGGCGCCGAGGAGGAAGGGUAGCGGCCCUCACAAACCAACCGGGUUGGAAGGAUCCGAUCCCAACGACAUUCCGUCGGUACGAUGCGGCUUCACUGCUUCUUACCUGAGCUCCCUGUCGCCGAUGCUUUACCCUCAGGUGACAAAAACCGGGUUGGGAUCCCUGUUGACAGUCCGCAGUGCCUGUGGUGAGGAUAAUAAAAUGUACUGGACUCUCCUCAUGUGCGUCGACACGGAAAAAAGAGCCCUCAAGUUUCCAGAUGGGGAGUUUAGGGUCCUAGAUGACCCAACAAUAGAGUAUAUUACGGGGAUUAAGUCAGGGUCUACAACCAUCCUCGUAGGUGUAGAGAACCUGGAUUUUAGAUCAGAACGACAGGCCGUGCGGAAGCUGCUGGGUUUAGAUAGUUCACUUAGGGGGGAAAUCAAGGUUUCCGAGGUUUUUUCGGUGGUUAGAGGCAUAGAUCCGCGUUCCGAAGAUAAAAAAAGACUUGGAUCCAGCCAACGUGGGCUACACACGGCUGGUAUGUGCCACGAUGGUUGCACCUCAGGCCAACUCUACGUAUGUCCCAGAUGAAAUACUACAUUGCGUCACAAAUCCAGAUAUUAUCGGAUCAUUCAACUGGGGGAAGUACAUAGUUGACAACAUCAUGCUAAACGCAAAACGUGUGCAGCAUCACCACAAGGACAAAAUAGGUGUCUGCCUCAUGGGAGGAUUCCAACUCGUGCUUCAGGCGUUCUUCGCUGAGUGGAUGGAUUUUCAAACUAGCAUGACGCCAAAUGUUUGGCCGCGUAUAUCUGCAUACUCAACGGAAAUCCUAAGAGAAAUAUUUAUUCUCGCAAGGGAUCCAAAACACAGAUUCAAGGUGACACUUUUUGCUCUCUUUUUUCACGAGUUUGUUUCAUUGCCAUGCAAAUUAUACAUGACUACAAUUAUAAUUGUUAACAAAAUAUGCAGACAAAAGCUGAAGGGGCACUGUCAGAGACUAGAUGGUAUAUACAUCCGAUCCUACUACAGGCGAGCAUGAUUUCAAUGCACACUGUCCAGGCUACUGCUAAUCAGUUCAUCAGCUCUGUGGUCUGCAAUCAGAUCAGAAAAACCGCAAUUCAUUUCGCUAGAAAUCACACACCUCCAGGGCAAAUCCUGUCAGCACAACACCAAGAACGUUGCAGCAGCAUUGUUAACCAUAUUUCCAGCGACCUAUCUUCAGUCGCCUCUGCCAUGUACAAAGAGUUCAUGAACCGACUUGCUGCUGCAGAAAAAGCUCGCCUUAACACACAUGCUAUGCAUCUAAACCCCAGCCCUCUGGAUUGCACAGCUACAGCACUAGUAGUUACCCAGGGUACGUAUGUUCUCAUACCAAACUAAUCUGCACUUUAUCAUGUACGCCUCUUCUUCUGACGCCAAACCUUGAAUUUUCGUAGGUGUACCAGGACGACAAGAUGUGCCAUCACCGAGUCUUCCUCAAGAACAAGCCUUAGCAGAAGCACGCAGAGGGGAGCGAUCCUUCACUGGGAAUGUUGCCCAUCUUUCUAGUCCAACAUUCAUAACCCCCUUGCAGACACAGCACCCUAUGGAGUCUCCACAUGCAAAUGCAUGCGCUGAAACACUUCUUCAGCUGGCCGGU